UGAAAAUCAUGGCGGAACAAACCACACAGACUUUGCUCCGGAGAUUUUCCCUUGGAGUAAACAGAGCCCAGCGCUUGGAUUAACUUCAUUUUCCCAUGCUUCAUUUACGUGGAGUGUCGGCGUGCGUUCAAGAGCACAUUGCUGUUUUUAGAUGGAGACAGAGAGUCUGAUCUUGGUGGACAGCUGAGAAACUGAAUGGAGCAGAAGGCUGUCCAACACCGCCUGGAGGGACACAAGAAGGCAGCGUUAACAAAUGUACGUCUCCUCAGAGCUCGGGAAUCAUGGCCGUCUGGGGGGCGGGGGCGGAGCUCGGUCGGCUUGCCGUUGAUCUCCGGCAUCUUCGUGGUGGAGAUGAUGGGAGGAGCUUUUCUGAAUUUAAGGCUCUCGUCAAACACCCGGUCCACCAACUGAGAACAUUAAAAAGAGGUUUGGAAAGACAUUAACUUAAGAGAUGAUUUCUACAGUUUAAACGAAAGCGAAAGAACCGGCACAUUAAAGUGAUUUUAAUGUUCGGUAUCUUAAGAAAUGUGAAAUAGCCCUUACAUUUUAACAUUUUAUCAUAUCUUGUCAAAGGACAAUAUGUGGUAAUCUUGGAUAUAAUUUAGAGUAGUCAGUGUAAAGCUUGUUAAACAGUAUAUAUUUACUACCCACUGAAAAAGAGUCAACACACAGCCUUUAUUGUGUAAAUAUUUGACAACACUAGUGAGUACACAGAAUAGUUAACAGGUCCUAAUUAUGCUCUCUUGCUUCUUUUUGAGUAUGCUACACAGGUGCUAACUUGGGUUCAGAAAAUGAGAAGUACUUGGCCACUCCAUCACCUUCAGCUUCCUCAGCAGGGCACUUGCCAUUUUGGCAGUGUGCUUCAAAUCAGUGGCGAGCCGUGCGUUUCACACCUCGGCCUUCAGUGAUGUCCUACUUAGUCCAACUUCAAUAAAUACUUCUCAAAAUACCAUUAUUGAUGUCACCACGUGACCAAAGCUGGAGAAACACACUUGCACACUACUGGACAUUGAAUCACCUCAAAAGUGUACAAAAUUGACUAUUUUUCGGCACAUUUAAAAAUCAAUGAACCCGCAUCAGCAAUUAAAACAUAUUUUACGUUGUACUGUCAAAAUUCAAAUAAUUGUAAAAAGCAUAUUAAAAGUGAAAAAAAUUAAGAAAUACAAUAUUUGAACUCACAAUUUGUAGCUCGUAGUUGGAUGAUUCAAGUGGAAGUGGGCGUCAAACCAUUGUACCGCCGGAACAGCUUAGCUAGCUUCCGGGGUCGGCCGACGUCGUCUCACAAGAUCUAGUUUCUCUUUAAAUAUCCUUCUUGAAAUUGCCUUGAAAAUAUUUAUCUACCACCUAAUCAAUUGUUUGCUCUCCUUCUUUGUGGGUUAAAAAGUGAGCAUCUGUGAUUGGCUCCGGUGCCACUUCCUGCUUUCGCAAAUCACAACUUGUGAUUAGAUACUCACUUGGGAGUGACAAGUGAGUAUCAUAAUCACAGUCAUGUAUAACGUAAUGCUACCUAGAUAGGCUACUGUCAACAACUCGUGAUAUGAUUAGUUAUCGCAACUGUCUAUCAACUGAAUGUCUCCCAUUCGUUUACACUGCGCAGCCGCCGCUAAUGUUGAUUCAGAAGGCCUCCGGCAGAAUUCAUACAGCGCUGGCAACCAGCUAGCUCAAUUCUGAUUGGAUAUAAGCGCUGACGUAAAAACAAGCCACACUGGAGCCUAAUAUGACAUGAAAAGAAUAUGAUUACUAUUUUUAUAUAUUUAUGGAAAGUAAAUUAAAAAUUAAAUGUACUUUUAUUAAUUAUGUUAGGCCAACAGAGAAGGCCUUGCUGGUCCUGAUGGCACACCAUGCUUGAACACCUCGUCAUGUUGGAAAACAAUUUCUCGAGGCAGGGGCUCACAAUGUCACAGUACGUGUUGGAUUUCAAGUUUCCCCUCAAUGAACCGCAGCUUCCCCAUGUCAGCAGCACUUGUGCACGCUAGAGACAAUUAUCUUGCCACUUAUAAGCUAUUCAGACAAAAAUUAAUGUGUGGGACGGCGUGGCGAAGUUGGUAGAGUGGCCGGGUCAGCAAUCGAAGGGUUGCUGGUUACUGGGGUUCAAUCCCCACCUUCUACCAUCCUAGUCACGUCCGUUGUGUCCUUGGGCAAGACACUUCACCCUUUGCCUCUGAUGGCUGCUGGUUAGCGCCUUGCAUGGCGGCUCCUGCCAUCAGUGUGUGAAUGUGUGUGUGAAUGGGUGAAUGUGGAAAUACUGUCAAAGCGCUUUGAGUACCUUGAAGGUAGAAAAGCGCAAUACAAGUAUAACCCAUUUAUCAUUAUUAUUAUGAUUCAUUUUCAGUGCAUAGUAAAUACACUGCUGUACACUGACUACACUAGAGUACAGUGGAACCGCAAUUGGUUCUUGAACAGGGUUCGUAAAUGGAAAAGUUCGUAUAGUGAAGCACAUUUCUUAAUAAGAAACAAUGUAAAUAUAAAUAAUCAGUUCUGGCCUCGACAAAAGUCCAUAUUUUAGUAAAGGUGUGUAAACUUUGAACACAAUGUAAACUGCUGUGCAUAACUGCUGAAUAUCAAAAACAUAACAAGGGGGUGAUGAAUCAACUAUCUAUUUAAUAACAAGCUAAAACAACAACAACGACAAGCUGAACUGUACUGUAUAUGCUGCUCUCCCAACUUGCGUGCGCACACACACAGAAGCCUUUUUGCUGCCCUCACAAACGAUCAAAAAUCACAAGCAUCCUUAACUUUAACAACCAUAUUGCUACAAUAAUAAACAAUUAAAAAGUAAAAUCCACUUAGAGUACAUUAACAUCGGCGAAACAACAGCUCACAAAAUAAAAGAAAGGCGCAGACAGAUGGGGAGGGGAAAACGGUAAGGGGGAG